rfam:Dipodomys ordii contig_5673, whole genome shotgun sequence.
GGGAUUGUGGCUUAGUGAUAAAGUGCUUGCUUGACAUGCAUGAAACCAUGGGUUAGAUCCCUCAGUACCA